UUCAAAGCACGGAGCUGUUUGCAAAUCGAUCGAUAUUCCGAUGAAAUGCUGUAUGGCAGAGCUGGCUAUUUGUACGCUUUACUGUUCAUAAAGAAGCACACGGAUAUAGCCAUCGAUGAUACCGUCAUAAGAAAGGUUAUUACAGCAAUACUGGCCUCAGGACAAGAUCUAGCCGAAAACGGGGAAGUGAGGUCCCAUUAGAGUAUGAAUGGCAUGGAAAAAACUAUUUGGGAGGUGCGCAUGGGAUUGCUGGCAUACUUUAUGUUCUUCUGUUGGCGAAAGAUCAUUUGACUGAAGACGAGUUGUAAGCCUGGUGAAACCGACGUUGAAUUUUAUACUGUGCUUGCAAUAUGGUCUGGCAAUUUUCCGUCAUCGAUUGGAAGCCGAAACAACGAUCGAUUAGUACAGUGGUGUCAUGGAGCUCCGGGGGUUGUACAACUCAUGAGCAAAGCAUACGAGGUAAGUGCUGACAAAAGUAUAAAUUCAUAAUUCAU